UAUCUCUGUAGAGUCUGCAUAUCAAUAAGCGGAGGAAAAGAAACUAACUAGGAUUCCCUUAGUAACGGCGAGUGAAGCGGGAAGAGCUCAAAUUUGAAAUCUUCAAGGUUCUACCUUGACGAAUUGUAGUUUAAAGAAGUGUUUUCUGUUGGAGUUUUGGUAAAAGUUCUUUGGAAUAGGACAUCAUAGAGGGUGAGAAUCCCGUAUUUGACCAUUUCUUCCAGCUGUGUGAUACACUUUCAAAGAGUCGGAUUGUUUAGGAAUGCAGUCCAAAAUGGGUGGUAAAUUUCAUCUAAAGCUAAAUAUUGGCGAGAGACCGGUAGCGAACAAGUACCGUGAGGGAAAGAUGAAAAGAACUUUGAAAAGAGAGUUAAACAGUACGUGAAAUUGUCAAAAGGGAAGCGUUUGACACCAGUGUUGUUUUCUCGAAAAUCAAUUAAAAAUGGCCGGAUUUUGUGUUGUAUUGACUUUAUCAGCUUUCUGCACUUUUUUCUUGUCUUUUUUAAUGCACUUUUCGUUUAACAAGUCAACAUCAAUUUCUUUUGUUGUAAAAGAGUCAUUGGAAGGUGGCUUUCACUUCGGUGAAAGUGUUUAUAGCCUUUGACUUCUGCAAUCGGAGAGAUUGAGGUCUGCAGCGUAGAUCCUUCGGGGUUAGAUACAUUUGUGCUAAGUUAUAGUUUUUCAUAGACAACAUGUUGACUAUGAUUAAUCAUGUAGCUUACUCGCUUAUGCUAUUUUACCUACGCUUAGGAUGUUGAACGCGCACAGAGUCUC
rnacentral:rRNA from 1 species